GAUGAAGAACGUAGCGAAAUGCGAUAAGUAAUGUGAAUUGCAGAAUUCAGUGAAUCAUCGAGUCUUUGAACGCACAUUGCGCCCCCUGGUAUUCCGGGGGGCAUGCCUGUCCGAGCGUCAUUGCUGCCCUCAAGCACGGCUUGUGUGUUGGGCCGUCGUCCCCCUCCUAGGGGACGGACCCGAAAGGCAGCGGCGGCACCGCGUCCGGUCCUCGAGCGUAUGGGGCUUCGUCACCCGCUCCGUAGGCCCGGCCGGCGCUUGCCGACGACCAUCAAUCUCUUUCUCCAGGUUGACCUCGGAUCAGGUAGGGAUACCCGCUGAACUUAAGCAUAUCAAUAAGCGGAGGA
rnacentral:misc_RNA from 1 species